rnacentral:rRNA from 1 species
UGUGAGCUCGAUGAGUAGGGCGGGACACGUGGUAUCCUGUCUGAAUAUGGGGGGACCAUCCUCCAAGGCUAAAUACUCCUGACUGACCGAUAGUGAACCAGUACCGUGAGGGAAAGGCGAAAAGAACCCCGGCGAGGGGAGUGAAAAAGAACCUGAAACCGUGUACGUACAAGCAGUGGGAGCACGCUUAGGCGUGUGACUGCGUACCUUUUGUAUAAUGGGUCAGCGACUUAUAUUCUGUAGCAAGGUUAACCGAAUAGGGGAGCCGAAGGGAAACCGAGUCUUAACUGGGCGUUAAGUUGCAGGGUAUAGACCCGAAACCCGGUGAUCUAGCCAUGGGCAGGUUGAAGGUUGGGUAACACUAACUGGAGGACCGAACCGACUAAUGUUGAAAAAUUAGCGGAUGACUUGUGGCUGGGGGUGAAAGGCCAAUCAAACCGGGAGAUAGCUGGUUCUCCCCGAAAGCUAUUUAGGUAGCGCCUCGUGAAUUCAUCUCCGGGGGUAGAGCACUGUUUCGGCAAGGGGGUCAUCCCGACUUACCAACCCGAUGCAAACUGCGAAUACCGGAGAAUGUUAUCACGGGAGACACACGGCGGGUGCUAACGUCCGUCGUGAAGAGGGAAACAACCCAGACCGCCAGCUAAGGUCCCAAAGUCAUGGUUAAGUGGGAAACGAUGUGGGAAGGCCCAGACAGCCAGGAUGUUGGCUUAGAAGCAGCCAUCAUUUAAAGAAAGCGUAAUAGCUCACUGGUCGAGUCGGCCUGCGCGGAAGAUGUAACGGGGCUAAACCAUGCACCGAAGCUGCGGCAGCGACACUAUGUGUUGUUGGGUAGGGGAGCGUUCUGUAAGCCUGUGAAGGUGUGCUGUGAGGCAUGCUGGAGGUAUCAGAAGUGCGAAUGCUGACAUAAGUAACGAUAAAGCGGGUGAAAAGCCCGCUCGCCGGAAGACCAAGGGUUCCUGUCCAACGUUAAUCGGGGCAGGGUGAGUCGACCCCUAAGGCGAGGCCGAAAGGCGUAGUCGAUGGGAAACAGGUUAAUAUUCCUGUACUUGGUGUUACUGCGAAGGGGGGACGGAGAAGGCUAUGUUGGCCGGGCGACGGUUGUCCCGGUUUAAGCGUGUAGGCUGGUUUUCCAGGCAAAUCCGGAAAAUCAAGGCUGAGGCGUGAUGACGAGGCACUACGGUGCUGAAGCAACAAAUGCCCUGCUUCCAGGAAAAGCCUCUAAGCAUCAGGUAACAUCAAAUCGUACCCCAAACCGACACAGGUGGUCAGGUAGAGAAUACCAAGGCGCUUGAGAGAACUCGGGUGAAGGAACUAGGCAAAAUGGUGCCGUAACUUCGGGAGAAGGCACGCUGAUAUGUAGGUGAAGUCCCUCGCGGAUGGAGCUGAAAUCAGUCGAAGAUACCAGCUGGCUGCAACUGUUUAUUAAAAACACAGCACUGUGCAAACACGAAAGUGGACGUAUACGGUGUGACGCCUGCCCGGUGCCGGAAGGUUAAUUGAUGGGGUCAGCGCAAGCGAAGCUCUUGAUCGAAGCCCCGGUAAACGGCGGCCGUAACUAUAACGGUCCUAAGGUAGCGAAAUUCCUUGUCGGGUAAGUUCCGACCUGCACGAAUGGCGUAAUGAUGGCCAGGCUGUCUCCACCCGAGACUCAGUGAAAUUGAACUCGCUGUGAAGAUGCAGUGUACCCGCGGCAAGACGGAAAGACCCCGUGAACCUUUACUAUAGCUUGACACUGAACAUUGAGCCUUGAUGUGUAGGAUAGGUGGGAGGCUUUGAAGUGUGGACGCCAGUCUGCAUGGAGCCGACCUUGAAAUACCACCCUUUAAUGUUUGAUGUUCUAACGUUGACCCGUAAUCCGGGUUGCGGACAGUGUCUGGUGGGUAGUUUGACUGGGGCGGUCUCCUCCUAAAGAGUAACGGAGGAGCACGAAGGUUGGCUAAUCCUGGUCGGACAUCAGGAGGUUAGUGCAAUGGCAUAAGCCAGCUUGACUGCGAGCGUGACGGCGCGAGCAGGUGCGAAAGCAGGUCAUAGUGAUCCGGUGGUUCUGAAUGGAAGGGCCAUCGCUCAACGGAUAAAAGGUACUCCGGGGAUAACAGGCUGAUACCGCCCAAGAGUUCAUAUCGACGGCGGUGUUUGGCACCUCGAUGUCGGCUCAUCACAUCCUGGGGCUGAAGUAGGUCCCAAGGGUAUGGCUGUUCGCCAUUUAAAGUGGUACGCGAGCUGGGUUUAGAACGUCGUGAGACAGUUCGGUCCCUAUCUGCCGUGGGCGCUGGAGAACUGAGGGGGGCUGCUCCUAGUACGAGAGGACCGGAGUGGACGCAUCACUGGUGUUCGGGUUGUCAUGCCAAUGGCACUGCCCGGUAGCUAAAUGCGGAAGAGAUAAGUGCUGAAAGCAUCUAAGCACGAAACUUGCCCCGAGAUGAGUUCU